GGUGGAUACCAUAAACAUGUAAGGGUACUAUCGGGAUUGGUUGUUGCCUUCUCCACUGUAGGAGGGCCGGGCAGAGACGCUUCACCAAGAGAAUUUUUGAGGAGAAAAAUGCCUGGGGCCUUUUCUUCCCACUACCUACUCCAGUGGAGGCUUCCCGUCAGGUCCCUGGACAAGGUUUUCCACUCCUCAGGUUAUCGGAGGCUUCAGUGCCAGUAGAAAACCAGGCUGAAGCCCUCUCAAGGAUCACAACCCAACUUACUUUUGUCUUUGGAUAGAAUACAACUUUCAAAAUGAGGCAUUAUGGGUAUGUAUGCAUAAAUAAUAUAUAGCAUAUGCAAUAAUGUAAUAUUUCUCACUUAUUGGGUACUAACAGGGCUUUUCUUUCUCCCAAGGGUGACUAUGUUGAGUUGAAUACUUAAAUAUACUGCUUUGUGUGAAAUGUUACCUUAUAUUGGUCAGAGGGCAUCAUACUUCAGAAGAAUGUUAAAAACAACAGAACUUCCUUUUGCAUAUGAGCUUAAAUCCUCAUUUUAUUUCUGAUUGUGUUUGUAAUGCAACAACAAAAACAAUCAUUUAAUUGGCCUCUCUGUAAAGCACAUUAUCUGUGUUCUAGGUCUUGAAGUGCUCUUAAUUAGACAGGUACCCUCUCGAAAGGGAUAUGGAAAUAUCCAGUUGUUGUGCAUAAGACCUAACAAUGGCAUUACUGAAGGAUCCAAGGAAAAUGUAUUUUUGGAUAAAAAAUAACAGUCACUCCCUUAGUCUCCUAAAGUAAUGAAAAAACUUAGGGAUUGAAGAGUACAUAGAAGUUCAGAUUCAAAUAAUUCAAAAACAUCUGAGUGACUUGGCUUUGCUUUUCUCCAAGCAUGUCUUUAAGGCAGUUGAGUAAGUGCUGGGAAUAACUGAGUGGGACAUUUCAAAUGAAGACUAGGUUUGAGAACUAGGAGUCAGGACAGCAGAAAUAGAAAAGGAUCUUAACUCCUACAUAUAACAAGGCAUGCAAAUGGAACUUCUAACAACAAAGUGGAUCAAACUGAUGUAGUCAGUACCCUUCAUGCUACAAACACAGAUAGAUACAUGCUGGAUAAAAGCAAUAACAACAACAACAUAAUAAUAAUGAAAGCUGAGCUUAAAAAGUGGGAUAACUAAGUGUGAAAAUAGAGAAGUAACCCAAAGCCAGAGCAACAGAGCAAGCUGUAUAGACUUAGGCUGCAGAGAGUUUGAGCGGAGCUCUUGCAUAAAGCAUGGAAGAUUAGAUAGCUACCCCAACCAUGGAAAAGAGAUGAGAAAACUGAGAUAGCAAGGAAGUUUUCUGGAUGCCUGAGGCUACACAUGAAGUUAAAAAAAAAAGCAAUUAUAAGAAAUAAAAUCCCUUAUGUUAAUUUAUUUUACUAUUGU
rnacentral:lncRNA from 1 species